AGUCCCCCGACUCAUUCAACACGGUCUCCCUUGUCUUCGUCCCCUCUUCAAGUUCCGCUCCAACAGACAACAGAAAUGAGGGGUGAUGCAGCAACAACAACGAUGGGAUGGGAAAUUAAUAUCCCUUUUUCUUAAUCUCCCUCUUGUGUGAUAAAGUUAUCGCAGAACCGUGGACAACACACUUAUUAUGCCCUGUUUUCAGGCCUCCUGUGGAUCAUCCCAAAAACCAGUUGGAGAUGUUACAUGUCCUCCCUCCUAAAGGUGAAACCUUUCUUUUGUCUCCCCACAGACAGAAUUGGAGAAUAUGUUAUCUUCGUCGAAUUGGGGAUGAGAUGCACUAUAUGACGCAGCAGUAACAACAACCAGUUUGAAGUUAAAUCUUUUAUUCAGAUGUGGAGGUUAUUUGACAAACACACUUAUGCCCCUGCCAUGUGGAUCAUCCCAAAACCAGUUGGAGUUGUCACAUGUCCUCCAAAAGGUGAAACUUUCUGUCUCGAAUCUCCACACGCAGAAUGGUUCACUUUCUUCAUUGAAUCGGGGAUGAUGCACUUUAUGACACAGCAACAACAAGGAUGGAAUGGAAAUUUAAUAUCCUUUUUCGUAAUCUCAUGUAAAUGUGUGUGGAGUUACUGACUACCAGCUUGUGUAACGUCAUCAUAGAGCCGUGGACAAACACACUUAUCUUCUGGUUUAAUUGAAGUGUCUCUCUAUUGAAGUGUUCAUAUGGUCUUAGUCUUGAUGGUCAACUAAGUCAACG